UGGUGGUUGGUUGGUUGUAGAACUGUGUUGAAAGGAUUUGUCCCUAGGUAUGCUUACUAUCUGAUAUAACAAGGAAUCCUCUGCAUGAGUACAUGUUAUCUGUCUUGGUUUUCAUCUAUGGAUUUAAGAUGGGACCCCUGCACCCUCAUGUACCGUGGACAGUUUUGAAACAUCUCUAUGAACUUGUGUGCAGUUUUUACCUGCUCCAGAUGCCAAAGCAUUUUCUGUGUUCCAGGAAGAUGGCUCAGUGGAUAAAGGAGGCUGUCUCCAGACCUGAGAACCUGAGAAUCUGAGAACCUGAGUACCUGAGAACCUGAGUUCCUGAGAACCUGAGUAACUCUAAAAUUCACACAGUAGGAAAAAAACUGAUGGCUGAAAGUUAUCCUCUGAUCCCCAUACACAUGGCAUGGCACACAUAUGUAAAUGUAUGUUCCCUUACAUGCAUACACAUACAAAUAUAUGUAGCUAAGAAAAAACAGAAACCCUCAAGUGUGUAAUGCAGUCUACCCCAUUGUCUCUUUCUAUAUGGCCUGUCAGCUAAAAAGACUGAUUAAAUUCCAUUUGUAAAUGAUUAAACAUAACUGAAUGUCGUAUUCAUUUGCCAGGGCUGCUGUGGUAUGUGCCACUGAUAUAGAUAGAUAGAUAGAUAGA